CGGGAUGUAGCCUAGCGGCAAGGCGCUUGCUUUGGGAGCAAGAGAUCGGCGGUUCAAAUCCGCCCGUCCCGA
rnacentral:tRNA from 1 species